GAUUUGGUAGUUCAGUUGGUGAAACGUUUGCUUAAUACGCAGAAGGUCGUCGGUUCAAGUCCGGCUCAGAUCA
rfam:Sphaerobolus stellatus SS14 unplaced genomic scaffold SPHSTscaffold_146, whole genome shotgun sequence.